rnacentral:lncRNA from 1 species
CUCGCGAGCGUGUGCAAUUUUCUGUACUGCGAUGCACUUAACAUUUAUUAAAUUGGUGACGCUUCGCGAGGAAGUCCUCUUGCAAACGGACACGUAUCCUCAGCAAUUACUGUGGUGAAGUAGGUACUUCAUUUCAAAGUAUCACUGAGUCAUUCUCACGCAAGCAAUUCAAUAGAAUAGGCGUGUUAAAAGUGACUAUUUAUUUAAAUAAUGAAAAUUUAUUCGCAAUUUCUUCAGUAAAUUUUCUUAAUUUAGCAAAAUAAUAAUCGAAUGAUUCAAAUCAUUGAUGAUAAUGAAAGCAAUUAAGGAAAUUAAUCUAUCUUUUUUAUUCAUAAGUGUAAUUCAGUGCAAUUUGAUAAAAAUUUACGACUCUUCAACAUCCAGCAGACCAACUGUUCACUUCCAUGCUCGUAAGCUGCUAGAGUUGUGUUUUCCAAAUGAACUUAAUCCCGUUGCAAUUUCGGUGGAUUUGCUCGACGUAAUGGACGAAAUGCAGAGGAAUGAAGCCAUAAACUUCUCCAUCCUGGUAAUUGAUCAAGAUUUCAGCUCAAAAGUCAUUAAAAAAUACUUCACACGCCACCCCAGUUAUCUAAUAACAGCGGAUUCGAUGAAAAUCCUGCGGAAAACGCUUCAAGAAAUAAAAUCAUCAACAAUUUGGAACGUGGCGUCGGUGAUUGUUAUGAUUGGAGAAGACUGCGACCGAGCAGCGGAAAUUCUUCAGGAAGUUUGGAAAAUUGAAGCUCUUAAUUCUUUUUACGUUUGUCCGAACAAGUCUUCAAGUGAGAGCGGAGCAAGUAAAUGAUAGCUGGACACUCUAUAGACAGCCAUUUCGAGAUGAACAGAGUAUCUGUUCCAGCGUUAUAUUCGACAAGACCCGUUCGCUGGACGGAUAUUCUCUGACAGGCAAAGAAAAUCGAGUCUUCAAAGGAAAAAAAAUUUCGCCAGAAGUAUUUACCGAUCUAUCACCCAGUGAACAAUAUGUGUUUAUUGAAUUGUUCACUGCAUUAAAUGUUACACCGGUCAUUCAUACCAAAAAUACAGCUACAGCUGAUUUAUUCGUCCUGACAAAAUUAUUAGCCAUUGGUACGUACGAUAUGUUGUUAGAAUAUAAAAAAAGUGUAAAUGGCUUGCGUACUGCCUGAAUAUCUUCUCGAUGAUAUUACGAUCGGUGACCUCCACAUAUCGAAAGAAUCUUUCUUUAAGAAGUAUAAUUUUCUAACGACGCGAAAAAACUUUUCACUAAAAAACAAAAUCGAUAAAACUGCUAUGCACUUGGUUGAGGCUGGUUUUAUUGACUAUUUCGGAAAAAAAAGUCCAGUGAAACGUUACAUAAAGAAACAAAAACUCAUUGAUUGGAUUAAGGCGCUUGAACAGGAAGAAUUUUUGGAUUUACCUGAUUUUUCUUACUUUUUUUGGUGUCUCGCUUUUAUUGUAUCCUUUUCAAUUUUUGUGUCUUUGAUCGAAUUCGCCAUGUAUAAACUCAAAAAUUAUGUCAAAAAACGAGCGCGAUAAUUUGAAGUUAAAAAACUUAAAAUUUAACGACGAAUCGCGAAU